CUCAUGCUAGGUGUUAUGGUGGUCUUAAUGUUUGUCUAUGGAACUAAAGGCUAUGGAAACAUAUCAGGGGACUGGGAUUUGUAAAAAUGGAUGAAGCUGGAGGAAUUGGAGUUUAACAGUUAAACUGUUGGAGCUUGCUGUCAAUUUUACAAAAGGAAAACCCUUCCCAUGGCAGGAAAUUUUUUUCAUAUUCAGGCAAGAUGGCAAACAAGUUCCUUUUACGCCCAGUCGAUUAAAGGAAGGUGUGCCUUGAACCACAGAUGAAAGGAAGGUGGUCUGCAACGAUUAAAGAACCUUCCAAAGAUGAAAGUUGUUGAUAAGGCUAUCUCUCAUGGACAUGUAGGAAAACAUAGAAAGCAUCCUGGUGGUCAUGGAAAUGCUGGAGGUAUGCAUCAGCAUAGAAUCCUCUUCGACAAUCAUCCUUAUUUUUCUUGGAUAUAUUAUUUUUUCUAAUUUUAGUGCGAACAAAAAAAGUACUUAUGUCAGUUAUCAUGUGUUGGGUUACUUGAUGCAAGUCGCAUGUACAACCACUAACUUCUAAAACUAGGUUCAGGUACCGCUUUCAUGAAAUUUGUACAACUGCAUGCCACGGUUGGUUCUACUGACUUAUCUCAGGUCCAUUUUUAUUUACUUUCUAUAGAGAAUUUGAGCAGCAGAUGGAGCUCAGAGAGACAGGGUUGCUGUUGGUGUACUAAACAGUGUUUAGUUUUGCUUUUGCUGGAAUAAUAGGUUCCCUCUUUUUAACAACAAAAUCUUCCUGACUUCACA